CCUACGGGAGGCAGCAGUGGGGAAUAUUGCACAAUGGGGGCAACCCUGAUGCAGCGACGCCGCGUGUGUGAAGAAGUACUUCGGUAUGUAAAGUUCUAUCAGCAGGGAAGAAGAUGACGGUACCUGACUCAUCACCCCCGGCGAACUACGUCACAGCAGCCGCGGUCAUACGUAGGGGGCAAGCGUUAUCCGGAUGUACUGGGUGAAGAGUGAGCGUAGACGGCGAUGCAUGCCAGAUGUGAAGGCCCGGGGCUCAACCCCGGGACUGCAUGUGGAACUGGGAGGCUGGAGUGUCGGAGAGGCAGGUGGAAUUCCUGGUGUAGCGGUGAAAUGCGUAGAGAUUAGGAGGAACACCAGUGGCGAAGGCGGCCUGCUGGACGAUGACUGACGUUGAGGCGCGAAAGCGUGGGGAGCAAACAGGAUUAGAUACCCGUGUAGUC
rnacentral:rRNA from 1 species